GCAAGUCGAACGGUAACAGGAAGCAGCUUGCUGCUUCGCUGACGAGUGGCGGACGGGUGAGUAAUGUCUGGGAAGCUGCCUGAUGGAGGGGGAUAACUACUGGAAACGGUAGCUAAUACCGCAUAAUGUCGCAAGACCAAAGAGGGGGACCUUCGGGCCUCUUGCCAUCGGAUGUGCCCAGAUGGGAUUAGCUUGUUGGUGGGGUAACGGCUCACCAAGGCGACGAUCCCUAGCUGGUCUGAGAGGAUGACCAGCCACACUGGAACUGAGACACGGUCCAGACUCCUACGGGAGGCAGCAGUGGGGAAUAUUGCACAAUGGGCGCAAGCCUGAUGCAGCCAUGCCGCGUGUAUGAAGAAGGCCUUCGGGUUGUAAAGUACUUUCAGCGGGGAGGAAGGGAGUAAAGUUAAUACCUUUGCUCAUUGACGUUACCCGCAGAAGAAGCACCGGCUAACUCCGUGCCAGCAGCCGCGGUAAUACGGAGGGUGCAAGCGUUAAUCGGAAUUACUGGGCGUAAAGCGCACGCAGGCGGUUUGUUAAGUCAGAUGUGAAAUCCCCGGGCUCAACCUGGGAACUGCAUCUGAUACUGGCAAGCUUGAGUCUCGUAGAGGGGGGUAGAAUUCCAGGUGUAGCGGUGAAAUGCGUAGAGAUCUGGAGGAAUACCGGUGGCGAAGGCGGCCCCCUGGACGAAGACUGACGCUCAGGUGCGAAAGCGUGGGGAGCAAACAGGAUUAGAUACCCUGGUAGUCCACGCCGUAAACGAUGUCGACUUGGAGGUUGUGCCCUUGAGGCGUGGCUUCCGGAGCUAACGCGUUAAGUCGACCGCCUGGGGAGUACGGCCGCAAGGUUAAAACUCAAAUGAAUUGACGGGGGCCCGCACAAGCGGUGGAGCAUGUGGUUUAAUUCGAUGCAACGCGAAGAACCUUACCUGGUCUUGACAUCCACGGAAGUUUUCAGAGAUGAGAAUGUGCCUUCGGGAACCGUGAGACAGGUGCUGCAUGGCUGUCGUCAGCUCGUGUUGUGAAAUGUUGGGUUAAGUCCCGCAACGAGCGCAACCCUUAUCCUUUGUUGCCAGCGGUCCGGCCGGGAACUCAAAGGAGACUGCCAGUGAUAAACUGGAGGAAGGUGGGGAUGACGUCAAGUCAUCAUGGCCCUUACGACCAGGGCUACACACGUGCUACAAUGGCGCAUACAAAGAGAAGCGACCUCGCGAGAGCAAGCGGACCUCAUAAAGUGCGUCGUAGUCCGGAUUGGAGUCUGCAACUCGACUCCAUGAAGUCGGAAUCGCUAGUAAUCGUGGAUCAGAAUGCCACGGUGAAUACGUUCCCGGGCCUUGUACACACCGCCCGUCACACCAUGGGAGUGGGUUGCAAAAGAAGUAGGUAGCUUAACCUUCGGGAGGGCGCUUACCACUUUGUGAUUCAUGACUGGGGUGAAGUCGGAACAAGGUAACCGUAGGGGAACCUGCGGUUG
rnacentral:rRNA from 1 species